UAACAUGCAUUCUACAUUCACUGAAAUUGAAGAUGCAUACGUUUAUUCAAGGAAGUUUGAAGACACUAGAAUUGCAAAUUUGACCAAUAGAAUUGUAGCUUUAGAAUUCAAAAGACGUAUCCAAUUUAACCAAGUGCUAGCACCCAAAUGCAUUGGAUACAAUGCACCAGAUCAUAUUAUGGAGGAGUGUUCUUUUUUAUGAAUCCAACCCAAACUGAGUUCAUACAGGAGAGUGCAUUCAAUGAAAGCCACAUAAAUGAACCUUAUGCACCAACCUAUAACCC
rnacentral:lncRNA from 1 species